AAGAUGGACCUAAUUCUUGUGCAUCCUCCACAUCUGAUCGCUUUAGCAUGCAUAUUCAUUGCUAGUGUCCUCAGGGAGAAAGACACCACUGCUUGGUUUGAAGAGCUUCGUGUCGAUAUGAAUGUAGUGAAAAAUAUAUCGAUGGAGAUUCUUGAUUUCUAUGAAAGCAAUCGAAUGUUCACAGAGGAGCGGAUCAAUGCUGCUCUUAGCAAGCUAGGCUUCAGGUCUUAAAAGCUCUCUUCUGCAGUUAAUAAAUAAAAAUGAAUCAUGGGGGAGGGAAGUUUGAUCCCUGAGCUAGUGAACUUUCUUCAAGGUCAUGUUCUUUACUUUAGAACAUUCUUUGAAUAUGGCCACUAGUCAGCUUAAAAUGAUUAAAUGUGAGGGCGCGGAUUACUGAGUUGUUUUUAACUUGUUGAUAGCCUCUGAAAGAAUAUCAGUGAUCUGUGAUUCAUUUCAUUCAUGCCGAUGAGUGUUGUAAUUUUAUUACAGAAUUAGAUGUGGGAUCUUAUGUAUUGCAUGAAGUUUAAGGAAUGAACACACUCUUUUUAAAAAAAAUAUUAAA